rnacentral:lncRNA from 1 species
AGAGUGAUAAAGCGACGGCCACUGCUGCGUUGUUUCUUCUUAUUUCUGCCAAUUCGAAGUCUAGCUGAGAGUGAACAGACACAAAGUCGCCUAAGCCAUACUUAGAGCUCUAGCAAUUAAGCUGGCAACAACCGCUACAAGCAUUGCUUUGGACUACUGCUGCUUGAUAGUGCCGACUCCUAUUACUUGUGAAGAUGUUGACAUAAUGCCAUCGUUGGCUUCUAAGAUUGCUGCUCUAAUCAACUGAGAGCGUUUUGAAUAGUCCCCGCUGUUGGCUGUUUCUGCUGUUGACUGAUUACUAGUGAUCUCAGAUGGUUGGCAGAAAACUCAAAAGAGGAGAGAAUACAGAAGCGGAUCGUGCCCUUUAAGUCACAUGUUGCUUUCUACCACAUCGUUUCAAACGAAGUUUUACUAUAAUAUUUCUCUAGUUUGGACUUGGUGUGUAAUUAAUAGUCAUUGCUUUGGUCAAUACACAGCCUCUUUACCUUGUACAUGAAGGGAAUAUUUAGAUUGUUAUUCUUUCAUCCCGAAUAAGGACAUGAAAGAGCACGAUUUUUGUAUCUAUUAGAAUAGACCGAACAAUUUUUGUCAGAAGUAAUUAUGUAUAUUGACAGUAUAGCUGAACAGGUUGGGGAAAUAUAUAUCUGUUGAGAGAAGACUUGUUCUCGUAAGACAAAAAUUCUAGCCUCUAUGCUUGCAGCUGGAGGGGCCUCUGUUUCU